UAAUGAGCUAAGGCCAGUUGAGUGCUUGCGUGGCUGUGAAGCACCAGUGCUGCAAAGAUGGGAAAAGACAAAGUGAUGUGACUUCUGGGGAAGGCACCUUAAAAUAGAAAGAAAAAGAAAGGUGGGAUUGUUGGGAAUUUUUUUUUCUAUUGAGAAGCAUGAUCCUGUCUGCUAAGACUCUCCUCUUGAAAUCCUGUCUGGAUUUCAGGUUAUGCCAAGCCCAGGAAGGAUGAAGGAAAAAUUGCUCCCUAGUUAAAGCCAUUUCUACUGAAAAUUCUCUGCAUGGAGAAAGGGCUUGAGAAAGUGGACUCAUCCCAAGAAGGAUGUGAAGAGGACAAGUAUUCAAAGCAGCAGCAUGCAAACUCCAGGAGGGCCUUCAGAGGUAUAAGUGGUAGGUGGUUGGAAGUGAAAAAGAGAUGUGACUUUAGGAAAGGAUCAUGAUAGAACUGGAAGAAUUCCAUUGAAGAACUCAGACGGAGACAGUGUAAAUCACGUGAACCUGAAGCGAACCAAAAUCAUGAGAAGAUGCUUGUUUAAUACACAAGGAACUCUAAAAACAAUGAGGAAAAAGCAACAGUCUUACUAACAAAUGUGUCUUAAUUUACUCAUAUCUGUGCAGACUUCAUUCUGCUUUUAAUAAUAAUGCAUCACAGGCCUUUUAUAGUCUGUUUCAAACUCCUGUCUAACAUGAUGAAAAUCUUAAAUACGAUCCUUUUAAGGAUGGAAGAUGUAUCACAUAGAAUGGAGGAGGACUGUGGUACAAAAAUGAAUGGCCACCUAGCACAUCUGCAGCAGCAGUCAUCAGCAGAUGUUUAGGGGAGAAUAGAAAACUGAGGAUGUGUGACAUGAUUAAUUUCCUUGUUUAGCCUCUUGUUUUGAGUAUUCAGCUUUUCAGUGACUUCCUGAACUGGAAGUUCAAUAUGGUCGGUCGUGUCCUACUGAUACAGCUUUCUGGCAUGAGUUUGUUCAGUGUCUUUUGAACCUGUUUGAGUACUAUUCUCAUCACUGACCCAUGGCAGUUAUUAUACGAUGCCUAAUAAAACACAGAGCUUUUUUCCCCAAAAAAUGCUAAUGACUUUUUUGCACCCUGUUGUUUGUUUAACAGUUAGUGACUAAUGUUUAUCUGGUCUCUCUGCUUCCAUUUAGUAAUUUAGAACUUCUCCCAUGUCUCACCUCAAUUAUGUAUUUUCCAUGUGAAGGGCUCCUGGUCCAUGCUGCUCGUGAGGUGGAACAGCACACACUUUUGAUCAUCAUUGCUGCUCUCUGAGCAUACUCUAUUUCUUCUAUAUGCUCAGAUUGGUGGGGGUCAGACUCACAUGUUGUAGUCAAGCUUUCAGUAAUACUUUUUAAGCCCUUGGUGUACCUGGGGAUGCUAGUAGUGGUCUGAUGGUUAAGAUGGCAGAACCUGGAGGAGGUAUUACAACUGCUUAGAUAGUAUGUCUAGAAAUCUGGAGGCGACACUCAACAGUUUCUCAGGUUGGAAACAAAAUCAAGGGAAGGGAAGAAUUUCUCAGAGACUCUAGACCUCCAUGAUCUGAAUCACAGAAUCACAGAAUGGACCCUUUGGUUCAUCUGGUCCAAUCCCUGCUCCAGCAGGACCACCCAGACCAGGCUGCCCAAGCCCACAUCCAAGUGGCUUUUGAAGGUUUUCACAGCCUCUCUGGGCCACCUGUGUCAGUGCUCAGUCAUCUACACCGUAAAUUUUGACAAAGUCCAAAUAACAUAAAAGGGAGCCAUGCCAGAACAAGCCUAAAAUGCAAGGAUUUGUCUCUCUGGGGGUCCUACGUGGAGCAGAAUGAAGAUGAAAGUUGUGUCUUUUUCAGAUCUGUACAUGUGGUUCUGGAAUACACACAGUGUUUGAUGUGGAUGGGGUUGAAGGUCUCAGCUCCUGUUCCUCAUUUCUCUAAAUCCGUGCCUAAGGGUAGCUGCUAAAGAAAGAGUCAGAUCACAAUCUAAAUCUCUUGUGUCUUUUCAUUAUUUUUUUUCCAUUCCAUCUAGAGAUGUGAAGUGUAUUAAUUUUGAUUGAAACCCCAAUAAGACAUAGAAAAAGAAAAAAGCAUCUUGAUAUCUUCCUGGCACUAUAUGCCAGCACUAAACAGCUUGCUACAUGGUGUCAUGAUAUGGAAUACUGAUAAAUCCAGGAGACUUCCUUUAUCUCUAAUCCCAAGUUAUGUUCCCAGGAAUGAACAGAUAAAAUUAACAUCUUUUGAACUCAGAGAUAUUGAUGGUUUCUUCAAGAAAGUAAGUGUCCAUGUGAGAUGAAGAUGGAAAUCACCUAAUGAAAACAGUAAUACACAUAAUUGAGAUUUCCAAAUUCAACCUUCUGGUGACUGUGAAAAGGAUUGUAAGAUAUAAACUAUAAAUAAAAUAUGAAGAUAAAACUUUUCAAAUUGGAUGUUUUAGAAGAAUGCUUAUGGUUUUACCUAUUUAUUUAUUUUUACUGUUUGGAAUUUAGCAAUUUGUAUAAAUCAAAGAAAGCAGAGAAUUCAAAUAAUGGGAAGCCCACUUCUGCCAUACCAUUUUAUGACUGAUCCAGUGCCUAUCCCUGUUUUUAUUCCAUUCUCUAAGUUCUAAGCCAAGCCACUGACUAGAUGCAGUGCAGAAAAAAUAUCUUAAAUAGGUUUAUGUAUUUAUACACAUUCUGCUUUGCUCAUAAUGAAACUCAUUGAGAAAACACAUGUCAAAUAAUUCUCAGAAAUAAGAAUUAAAACAAAAAGGAAUCUAAUGUUACAACAGUGGUCAAAGAACAGUGUUAAGAUGUAAGCUGAAUUUUGUUCAAAGGUUUGCUAAGCCGUAGAAGAUCUGUGCAAGAGCAAAACACAAAGACCUGUGAUGGCAUCUGAAUGUGCUUCAAGUAAGCAAAUGUUUACAUAGUCUACCAAGGCUAGUAUCAUUUUUUUACCACAUUGAUGUAUUAGUGUGUUCCACUGUCUUUUCUUUCUCACCUCCUAAUGAUAACCAUGUCUUAAUGAGUUUAUCUGCCCUCAGUGGUUAUAAUGACAUAUAAUACUUUCUCCGUUUUGACCAGUUUUAAUUUCAUGUUUUAAUUGAGCAUACAGUCACUCUGAUGAAAGACACAGACAUAUUACAAACUGAUGAGUAGCAGACCUGGUAUUUGUGGAAUUUAUUUCAGUGUAAGUUAGUUAUCUGAGUCACAUCCACUUGGACAGACUAGUUCUCAAAUUCUUUUUGAAAACAUUUAUUUCAAUAUUCCAUUAAAAAAAAAAAAAAAAAAAAAAGAGAGAGAGAGAGAGAUAGAGAAGUAAGAGCUCUGGAAACAAAGCUUCGUUCAUUACUAUCCAGAAUUUUGUCAGCACUGUACCCAUCCUAGUCAGCUGCUAUUCACUGUUUAUCAUUUCAGUCCAAUAGAAAAUGCUGAGCAGAAGAUUUACCACAGUAUAACUGAAACAUAAAGUUCUGGCUACAUAUAAAUAAACGAAGGCAAAUUCUACUGUCAUGAUAUGUACAAUAUCCAAAUAGUAACAGUGAACAUAGAGAUACAGUGUAAUAAAAGAAUUAUGGCUUAGGGGCUGUUGCUGAUGUCCUGACUCCUGAUGCAGCAACGUAACCUUACUGAAUUCAGCAGUAAUUGCUUGAAAAAUAUUACUGGACAGAAACUGAGUCAACGUUAAUGAAAAUGAAUAAUAUCCCUCAAAUUUUAGGUUAUGCAGCUAUGUGUGAUGAAAGAUAAUCUGGACAUAGAGAUGAAGAAAUACAUUAGGACACUAAGACCAUGCAAGUAAUUCAUAAGGGGAAUUUUUUGCCUAAUGAAAUGAUGUACCAUUUACUGAAUGGCUUCUUGAGGUUUCAUUACGUCCUGUGUCCUGUUGCUUCUUGGUGAUAGCCAGAAAUGACUCUGCUGAACUCAACAGGAUGAUCUCUCUACAUGAAUGCAUCCUUAGAGUAAAGCAGAUGGAGUAUUUAUUUCCGAAUGACAGCAGUGUUACUAUGAAAAUGUUCUACAGUCUCUAAAUUCUACUGACAUACUAAAUGACAAAUGCGGGAUAUAUGUUUUGUGAUUAAAUUUUCCAGUUUCUGGUGUAGUGCUUUUAAUAUGGAAAGCAAAUUCACAUGUUUUCAGCUUUGAGAACAGAGUCCAGUAUUGCAGUUUGGCACUGCAGUAAGCUAAGUAAGGGAAAAAGUUAUUGUUUUCCUGAACAUGGAAAAUAUAAGAGGCAGUACAAAUACUGAAACAAGUAAGGCAAUAUUUUAUACACAACUAAGAAUUUGGUAAGAGUGAAGACAAAAGAUGGUUUUGGACAACAAAAGUUUAGAUCAAAUCCAAACUCCUUUAGCAUUUAGCUGUUUCAGGACCAUCCUCUUGAUACUUUUUAAACAAGCAAGCAAACAAAAAAAUCUCAAAAUAUCUCUAUACAAAGAAAACACAGUGAAAAACAGUCUUGAACCUAAAUUAAAUAAUAGCAGUGGUUAGAGGUCUACUGGCGAGAAAUUAGAAGGGUCCUAGGGCUUUAUUCCCAUAGAGUCCUAAGCUUUUCAGUUUACUUUAAUAAAAACUUAAAUCACUCUCCAAUGAUUUCUCUUAAGGAAAAGCAUGAGUUAAAAGAGAAUGGGAAAGUAUAAACAAGUUGAAUGUCACAGACUGGUAAAUAAAAAGUUAUGGUCUGAAGGAAUGGCUGUGAUUUCAAAGAGAUAUGGAUUCAUGCAGGAUGUGAGUAACUCCUUUAGACUUCCCACUAUCUAUAAGUGGGCUCCCACUGACGUUAUUGGUAUCCUCUGUCAAGAGAAUAGGACCCAUAUUUUUAGAUUUGUGUACACCAGCUAUUUGCUGGAGUUGUUAUCACACUCGUAUUUUUAGCGGUUCACUAUAUUAAGGAGAGGAGCUUUUGCAUUGUGUUGUGUCAUUUGCAGUGUGCAAACUUCCUGGAGCUUUUCUGCUCCUUUGAUCCCACCAGCCACAGUAGCAGAAGAGCUGACUCAUCAGCCACGACUAUUUCUUCCACAACAGGAGCUCCCCAGGUAGGCGGAAAUUUGCCAAACACAGGAAGGUAACAGCCAUAUCCACUCUGAGCCCUGGACUAACUCAAAGUCCACUGCAAACAGGAAGAAUCUCAGCAAUAUCAGAGUUGAUUGCAGAUGACAAUUUCAACAAAGGGAGGAAGAAAAAACAGAGCUCCAGUGUUGGCAAUGGAAAUAUCUCUCCGUUCUUUCUAAAUGUAAUUUGCUAAACCAGUCUUCACUCAUGCUGCUCUUUAAGGCAGUGAUACACUGGGAAGCAUUUCACAGUUUCUAUGCACAGGAGAGAUUCCUGGUCUCAGCUGUGUAAAUGUUUUAACUGAGAUUCAUGCUUGGCUAUUCAGGUCAUUGCUUUCUCUUCCAGCCCACACAAGCCAAAAUGCAUCAAUAUAAGCAUAAAGCAUCCAAAAUCAACACAGUAUUUUCACUUGAACGCACCUAUGGCACGUGGUUUGCCUAAAGUACAGGGUACUAUGCCAAGUGCUAGAUUUACACAUUUGCCUGAUAUGAACUUAGCAUGAUCUACAAAAUUCAUGCAAACAGUCCUGUUUUGUGCCUUUUCAAAUCUGACUUGGCGAGAUUCCAAGAAAGGAAUCAAAGGAACACAAACUCUUGGUUCAGACUUCAGAAUGGACUAAACUAAUGUAGGAAACCUUUAAAAAAUAUGAAGCUUAAUGUCUACUGUUACCGUACAUGUGCUUCUGACUUCAAGCAACCGACAACUUCUUCCCUGUGUUGAAUGGAAGAGCACAGGCACUCUUCCCUCUAUUAUUCUGUUUUAUUUUGUGUAAGAGUUUCAGUCACACAUGGAAACUCAAAAACAGAUUAAAGACUAAGGUGGAUUUGGUUUAGAAGGGCUCAGGUAGCUCUAGAGGCAGUCUUAAUACAGAAAUUUGCAGGGAUUUUGUUCCCACAUGCUUUUAUUCUGUCUGUAGUUCUUUGCCUCAAAUGGAAGACAGUGAAUCCCAAGGCACCUCUUCCUGUGGUGCCAAGACUCUCCUUUUGUGACAUUUCUCUUGUUUUGUUUUUAAUCUAAAUUUCAGUGUAAUCAUGAAAACAGAACUUUCAUGCUAUUUUUUACUGAAUUUAAAAAGGAGGUCUUGAGGGUUUUUGUGGUCCAACCUUGAGGAACUCCUGCACCCAGUGACUAGGCCUUUUGCUGUUUAGUAUGUUCUCUGUGAGGUGAAAGAUGCCAUGUUCUCAGAAUCCCGGAACUACUUUUCAAUAGCUAAUUUACUGCCACAAACACUUGCUGCUUGAGACUGUAAGGUUGAUUGCUGGGCACCCAGAAAAGGGCUCCCAGACAAUUCUGCGAGACUACUGCAUGUAGUUGGUUUGGCUCUGGGAUUUCACAAGCUUUGGGUCACAGAUGCUUACUGGCAUACACAUGGUUGACUGCAGUACUAUAUCCAUACACUUGCCAUACGAGCAUACAGACCAAACAUCCCCCUGCACUUGUCAGUGAAAGCACAAGGCUUUUCUUAUUUCUUUGAGAAAUAAAACUAAGUAGUUCUGGCCUUGUAUAUAUUUAUUAGAUAUUAGAUAAAAAUAAUAAGUAGAUAUUAGAUAUAUUUACCAUCUUAAGCCUAAAGCAAUAUGAAUGCAGGAAAAAUAAUGUAGUUCUGCAGUUGAUCUUGCAAGACAGAAAAGCUUCAUUCUUCCCUAUCAAUUUGUCUUGCCUACAGCUAAGGAAUACUCUAAUCAUUAAGCUAUUUGGGAAGCUUUACGUUUUUUUGUUUGUUUGUUUGUUUUGUUUUUGAAAUCUACAGCUGUCCUCUAUCUUUUAACUGCUUUCAAGCAACAUUAUUUCCACAGUUUGAGGCCAAAGCUGGCAGCAGUUUUAGGACUUUCAAAACCUUUUUAACUUUGGUAAAUCAUUUUCACUGAGGAAAAAAAAAAUCAAAAAAAAUCAAUUUCACUACUUUUGUUCAGGACAAAAUUGCUCUGGCCUCUAACUAUCCCAAACUGCAACUCAUUUGUGUGUCUCACUGUAAAAAAACAAUAUUGCAGGAGUAAAACCUCAUUUACUUAUGCUGAAAAAUACAUAAUGCAUCUCUUUCUCAAGGACAUGGUCACUUACUGUAUACUCUGCCAGAUGGAAAACUAAGCGUUCAUCGUAAAUACAUGUGCCACUGCUUCAGGACUCACUAAAGACAGGUGGUUGGUAUAGCAGGUCAAUUCAAAAGGUGGCCCACUGAACUGAAAAAUUAAAGCAACACAGAAGUAAAAGAGUAUUGUUUUUCCUCUCUAUAAAAUGAGUUCAAUUUUUUAUGCUGAUAUUUUAGGGAAAUUGUCAAAUUAUCUCAAUCUCUUCAAUUCAAAAUUACUGCAAAGUACUUGCAACAAGAUAUAUUAAUAUGGCCUUAAUGUUGGGAUGGUUUCAAAAUCAUAUGCCAGUGCAGAUUACCAGGUUGUGAAUGAAAAAAAUAUUAUGUUUCAACUCAAGGUUGAGAUACUGAAGGGGAAGCUUGCACUGGUGAAACUUGAUUCACUGUAGGGACACAUACUGUAGUGCAUUCAAACUCCUAAUUACAUUUAGUUCCAUUUAACUUUAGUUUCUUAUUUUUUAAGCCUCGCAUAGGUACCAGUUGCCACCUUUACUCCAGAAAGCUGUGGUAACAGGAAUCUGCACAUUAGCCACAAGACAAGUUAGAACUAGAGUUAAGCACCUUCAGAAUUUCAGUUAGUUUAAAUGAAAGUGAUAAUAAGGGGUCUGGAGCGUAAGUCUUACGAGGAGUGACUGAGGAGUCUGGGAUUGUUUAGCCUGGAGAAGAGGUAGAGGGGGGGCUUCAUAUCUCUCUACAACUACCUGAAAACAAGUUGUAUUGAGGCAGGCAUCAGCAAUAGGACUAGAGGGAAUGGCCUCAAGUUGCACCAGGGGUGGUUCAGGUUGGAUAGUGGGGAAAAUUUGUUCUCUGAAAGCAUGAUCAAUUGCUGGAAUGGGCUGCCCAGGGGAGCUGAUUGAGUCACCAUCCUUGGAGUGCUCAAGAAACAUUUAGAUGUUGUACUAAGGGGGAUGGUUUAGUGGGAAAUAUUGGUGAUAGGUGGACAGUUGGAUUGGAUGAUCUUAGAGGUCUUUUCCAACCUUGGUUAUUCUAUUAUUCUAUAAUUAUAUGAUACAUAAAGCAGAGCCCAGAUCAAAUGAACAGGAUCAUUUUCACAGAUCAGUUAAUAUCUGCGAAGAAGUGAAUAUGCACGCUGCCUGUGCAUCUGUAACUAGUUACAGAAAGGAUAGAAGAAGUGAAAGAAAAGCCAAUUGCUCAUUGAUGUACUUGUCUAGCACUAGGACUGAUUGGGGGAUUGUGUAGAAAUAAGCCACACUCUUUCCUAGUGUGGGCCCUAGAGUCAAAGAAACACUUAAUGAUAUUGCAACUGAAUCUCAGUACACUGUUUCAACCUGUCCGUCAAUGUUUUUCUGAGCUCAUUUGUUUGCCCUUCUGUGCCUGCUAUCCUUUCUCGCUUUUUGGCUUUAUCUGUGUUCACGCUUUUUUUCCCCAAAAGGUGUGCUGCAUGGAGUAUUAAUCUAUUGCUGUUUCCCCCCAGAUACCUCACUUUCCAUUGAAAAGAUAUUGAAACUCUAAUGUUAUUUCUAUAUGAUUGUAAGACUUCAUAAGGAAUUUUCUGGAGUAGAUAAGAAAUCAAAAUGUUCUCAGUUUUUAUCCAUAUCUUCUUAUAUUCUAGUCAAUCUAUGUAAUGCUGUCUUCUAACAAGUGAAAUAGAAAGCCAUGGUAUUAGCGUUUUCCUUAGAGUAGCAAACAAUGUUCAACAGAGAAUUCUGCCAUCCAUAAAAUUCGAAAUAAACCUAAGUUAGUGGCUUUUGUUGCCACUGCUCACACAGAACAUAUCUUAUUAACAUUUUGGUUUUAUAAGUUUAUUGUAUUAAGGGUAUAUUUUAUCAAUAUAUCCUUUGUGUAACGCAGAGAAGGAGAAGGGAAGAACAGAGAACCAGACAAACUGACGUAAGAAAAUGUUUAUACUAGGGAAAUUCCUGACUGUACUUGGGCUACCUGUUGAAGGUCAAGUCUGCCUGAAAUGAAAUAAAAAAUAUAAAAGUGCCAAUGGUACAAAUACCAGCAAGUAUCAAUGGAUUCCAAGGAUCUCUUUCUCCACCUGUCAUGGAUGUUCAGAGAAACCUGAUGUCUUUGUAGCCUCAGUGCACUGCUUUGGUUCACGUAUAAAAAAUUGCUGUGCCAAAUUGGAGUUAAUGAGGAUCCCACUUAAUUAUCCCUCUUAAUUAGUAAACUGCUGUAAAAUGCUGUAAUUAGCUGCUGGACUUUUCAUGUAUAUUAUCCAUUGUGCCCGAAGAUAAACCUUUAACUAUAUGACUAUGGCAAUCCUUCAGUGAUUCCAUUCAGAAGCAGAGUAUUGUGUUUGCCUCUGACUCCUCAAUGUUGUUAAAAUAUAAGAGAUUUAUUCUUGGGUGUUGAACUAACUUCCUCUUCUUAUCUUCUUGACAACUACUUGUAAUAUCUGUCAGUGCUUAUUUAAGAGUGCACCAAGAUGCAAAGAAUGCUAGGACAAUUAUUCUGAGCUAUGUACUUGGUUGUUACAGUGCUCUUGGCUUUGAAAAAACAUGUUAAAUGGAAAUAAAAUCAUGUGACUUUUUUAUGGUUUAGACAGUGUAUGUUGGCAAAACCUUGUCUCUAAUGAAUGCUGUUUCUUCUUUAAAUAACAUCAGGGGAAAGCCCAUCAUAACUCAUUUUAAUUGUUGUAAGAAAAUAAGCUACUCUACCCAAAUAACAUAUGGCAUCUUUCUCAUUUCAGUCUUCUCUGAUUUCAGUAUCUCUGUGACA
rnacentral:lncRNA from 1 species